GAUACUUGUACUCGAUGAAGCCACAGCGUCAAUCGACAAUGCAACAGACACCAUCAUACAGAAAACUAUUCGCGAAGAAUUCAAAGAUUGCACUGUAAUUACAGUUGCUCACAGAAUACCAACUGUUGUAGACUGCACAACGGUGCUUGUUAUGAAGGAUGGAAAGGUGAUGGAAUAUGACAAGCCCGUGACAUUGAUGAAUGAGCCAGCAUCCUUGUUCGCGCAGCUUGUUAACGAAUAUUUGUCGCAACAUAAGACCUCGUAAUCUUAUAACUACGUAAGCUUUGGAUAAUUUACUAACUUACAUAAUUGAUAUAUAUUAUGAUUUUAUAAAGUUUUUGACCACCCUUAGACUAUGAAGAUGCUGGAACAAGGAAUAAAAGAUUUCACAUUAUAUUUCCAGAUCAACUGAGGCUUCAUUCAGUUAUCAAUAACUUGACUGAUGGCAUGAUUACUCCUGCUUCUUAAUCUAGUAACUUGUUUGGUGCUGCUACAGUUUCCUUUUUUUCCAUAUAAAGACUUGAUUUAUGAUAUGAUAUAGGGUUCGAAUAUAUCGAAAUCCUUAUGAUUGUGGUAAUAAUCAUUAGAAGAUUGUGGUGAUGACCGUGUUUUGAGAGAUGUGUCCAUGAGAUUGGUUUGCAAUGACCAAAAAAAAAACAAAUGGGAAUAGGUUGUA
rnacentral:lncRNA from 1 species